CUUUACUGUAGCUUGGAAUUGGGUUCGGGCUUUGCUUGCGCAGGAUAGGUGGGAGACUAUGAAGUUGCUCUUGUGGGAGUAAUGGAGUCAACGGUGAGAUACCACUCUGGUGAGGCUAGAAUUCUAACUUGUUCCCGUUAUCCGGGAGAAGGACAAUUUCAGGUGGGCAGUUUGACUGGGGCGGUCGCCUCCUAAAUGGUAACGGAGGCGCGCAAAGGUUCUCUCAGGCUGGUUGGAAAUCAGCCGUAGAGUGUAAAAGCAUAAGAGAGCUUGACUGCGAGAGGUACAUCUCAAGCAGGGACGAAAGUCGGCUUUAGUGAUCCGACGGCACUGAGUGGAAGGGCCGUCGCUAAACGGAUAAAAGUUA
rnacentral:rRNA from 1 species